rnacentral:rRNA from 1 species
UACGGAGGAUUCGAGCGUUGUCCGGAAUCAUUGGGCGUAAAGGGUACGUAGGCGGUUAGAAAAGUUAGAAGUGAAAGGCUAUAGCUCAACUAUAGUAAGCUUUUAAAACUGUUUAACUUGAGAGAUUGAAGGGAAAGUGGAAUUCCUAGUGUAGCGGUGAAAUGCGCAGAUAUUAGGAGGAAUACCAGUUGCGAAGGCGACUUUCUGGCCAUAAACUGACGCUGAGGUACGAAAGCGUGGGUAGCAAACAGG